rnacentral:misc_RNA from 1 species
GCGAGAUUGAGGCCGCGGAUGGCGAGCACAAUGUCGGAGUGGUCGUGGUCGAGGUAAAUGAGGUAGGGCGGGGCGCGGCCGUAGGUGUCGGCGUAGCUCCGGCGACGGAUGACCAUGCGGGGGUUCAUGCGGUAACCGCCGGGGGGCGCCCAGACGGGGUUAUCGAGGUCGUCCUCGUAGACGGCGAGGAGGUAACGGCAGAGGCGG